rnacentral:lncRNA from 1 species
UUCACCAAGGGCCUGCCUUCUUCUAUCUUCACGGAGUUCAGGUCCAAUCUGAACGUCCAGGAUACCGGCGCUCACACUGCGGGGUGUUAGAAUGUGUAUGUGUGCUGCCUAUAUUGCGUGAGUGGGCCUGUCUCGUGAGUCACAGCCAGACCUAGGCCGACCCAUGUGGGCGUCGGCCCCUAGAUGAUUAGGGUUAGGCGCCACCCCCCCAGGCUGGCGCCUAUAUAUUUGUAACCCUUGGUUCUUCCCUAAUCAAUCUAUUAUUCCACGCAUAUUGCUUUCCUACAAUAGCAAUAUAGGUAAAUAAAAGGACCAAAAUUUGCAAGUUAUGUUUUAUCUGUUCAAAUCAUAUAAAAUUAUGGGAG